CCCCGCUCACCGAGCCAGUAUAAGACCGGCGGCGCCUUGCAACGGGUUUGGCACAGAUUUCAGCUCUCGAGCAGGACAGAUACAAAGUAUAGACAGUAUCCCAGGGCUCCUCAGAAUCUUUGAUUCUUGUGCGAUUAAACGAAGAUGAAGGUCUAUAAUGGUUAUGCCACAAGAAACCCACGAAGGAAUACACCUGUUUUCCUUCCCGAUACUGUGACACCAGAAGCCAUAUCAUGCGGAGUAAACAUCUAAUUGAUAAACCCGGAGGGUAUGACGGGGUCACCAUAACAUUACUACAGAUCACAUCACGGGGAGACAAACUUCAAGGACCUGUUUACCCUGUUCUACUCAGCUAACUCCAACCGCAGUCUCCACAUGUGUUUUUUCUGCAACUCAUCCAAGCUUCCCCGGAUCUGCACUCCAUAUCUCUCUGUGUUCCUGAGGCUGCUCCUCCUUCUGAGUCCUGAGGCUCCUCCUCCUUCUGAGUCCUGGGGCUGCUCCUCCUUCUGAGUCCUGAGGCUGCUCCUCCUUCUGAGUCCUGAGGCUGCUCCUCUCUCUGAGUCCUGAGGCUGCUCCUCUCUCUGAGUCCUGAGGCUGCUCCUCUCUCUGAAACCUGAGGCGGCUCCUCCCGGCUCCCAUGCCACCCCCGGGUGCAGUGAUGAUGAUGAUGAUGAGGGGUCUUACCUGAUGAAGGGUCUGGAGAUGGCCAGGAUUGUUCGGAUGAACCAGGAUGGGUGAGCAAUGACCAGCCACUUCAGAUUCUUCUUCAACCUGCAGAGGACAUUAAAAUACCAUUUACAUUAACUGUAUGUUCAUACAGCAUAGGUUACACAUCUAUAGGCAUAUUAUAAAUCAGGACAUUGCACAUCUAUAAACACACCAUAAACACAAUUAACCUGACACAACAUUUAAAGGUCUAUUUCGUAAAUUAUAAUUUACCUCCUGUUGAUGGUGUGGUAGCACCUCUUUAGCCAGCUGAUACCAGGCAUCCUCCUGCGAGGCGUAGCUCCGUUCAGAUAGAUAAUCAUGUAGUCCUCAGCCACUAACAACUCCAGGCUACUGAUCACAUAGCUGACGAGAAAACAAACACACAACUCAUAUUAAAUACACAUUCCUGAGGGAAAACAGACACAACUCAUAUUAAAUACACAUUACUGAGGGAAAACUGAUACAAAUUAUUCUAUGUUUAAGAUAAUGACUAAAGUAUUCCACCCUGAAACCAUAUAAUUGUAUGAAAUGUGUUAUAGUCAUAAUUCAAUAAUGUGUGUGACUAGGCCAUUGUGUUACUAUUUCGCAAUAUGAGCUGGGUAUACUUAAGACACUCAAGGCCAACUGAACUGUCGACUUGUGAGAACUCUGAAACCAAUAACAGGAAAGAGGCCUCCCCAACCUAGGUAUUGGAGUAACUGUUAAAAAUGGCUUGCAAAAGAUAAUGAGAAACUAUGUGUUAGUAUUGUGGAAAAAUAUAGCCCACCUAAAGAGAGGUGGAGUUUCUACUGAUGUGAGUUCAUUUGUGUGUGUGUAUGUUACAAAAGGAUUGUGUUCUCAUUUUGAAGUCAGAGUGCUCUCUGAAUAAAGUAUUGAUCUAUUGCAGAAUCUGAGACUUUGUCUAAUUCUUUAUUAAACCGGAGAUUUACGACCUCUGGGGAAAUAGACAAAGCUUGAGUGAUAGUUGAGUUUAACCAUUGGAGAUAAAAAUUAUCACACAACUCAUUAAAUACACAUUCCCGAGGGAAAAUAUACACACAACUCAUAUUAAAUACACAUUCCUGAGGGAAAAUAUACACACAACUCAUAUUAAAUACACAUUCCUGAGGGAAAAUAUACACACAACUCAUAUUAAAUACACAUUCCUGAGGGAAAAUAUACACACAACUCAUAUUAAAUACACAUUCCUGAGGGUAAAUAUACACACAACUCAUAUUAAAUACACAUUCCUGAGGGAAAAUAUACACACAACUCAUAUUAAAUACACAUUCCCGAGAGAAAACACACACAACACAACGUGGUGUGGGUUCUUACAGGAAGAGGUUCUCCAUGAUGUAAGUGUAGUCCUCACAGCUGCUCUCUGGCAGGUAACACGCCGCAAACACUAUGAUGGCAUUCAGACCCUCACCGUAGUAACCUGAGAGAGAGAGAGAGAGAGAGAGAGAGAGAGAGAGAGAGAGAGAGAGAGAGAGAGAGAGAGAGAGAGAGAGAGAGAGAGAGAGAGAGAGAGAGAGAGAGAGAGGCGGAGAAGGGUGAAUCAUUUACUCGAUUCGGAACACACACACACACACACACACACACAUAUGGUCAUGGUCAUAUGGCCCCCCCUCCCCCCCAACCUAACCUCCAUCCCCUGACACCAACCUCCAUGUGUGACCACCCUCAGGUAUGGUCUGAUGACAGCCAUGUCUAUCCUCUGUUCCUGGUCUCCUAUGAUCACUGUCCUCCACAGUCUGCCUGCCUCCUCCUCCUCCUCUGUCUGGCCUCCAGGCAGACCCUUGGAACUCACUAUAGGAGUGUCGUCUGAAAACCACGAGACCAUGUGACCCCUGUCUGACCUUCCCACUCCAGGUCGUUGCCGUUGGUGAUAAACUCCAAGGAGUCGUUGUCGUCGGGCGUGUCCAUGUCGUCCACGUUGACAUCCAGGUCGUCAGGGUUACCUAAG